rnacentral:rRNA from 1 species
GAUGAACGCUGGCGGCGUGCCUAAUACAUGCAAGUCGAGCGAACGGACGAGAAGCUUGCUUCUCUGAUGUUAGCGGCGGACGGGUGAGUAACACGUAGAUAACCUACCUAUAAGACUGGGAUAACUUCGGGAAACCGGAGCUAAUACCGGAUAAUAUUUUGAACCGCAUGGUUCAAAAGUGAAAGACGGUCUUGCUGCCACUUAUAGAUGGAUCCGCGCUGCAUUAGCUAGUUGGUAAGGUAACGGCUUACCAAGGCAACGAUGCAUAGCCGACCUGAGAGGGUGAUCGGCCACACUGGAACUGAGACACGGUCCAGACUCCUACGGGAGGCAGCAGUAGGGAAUCUUCCGCAAAGGGCGAAAGCCUGACGGAGCAACGCCGCGUGAGUGAUGAAGGUCUUCGGAUCGUAAAACUCUGUUAUUAGGGAAGAACAUAUGUGUAAGUAACUGUGCACAUCUUGACGGUACCUAAUCAGAAAGCCACGGCUAACUACGUG